rnacentral:lncRNA from 1 species
AGAUCCGCGGAGUCCUGCAACAACGCAAGGCUCGCUGGGCAAACUCAUUGGACUUCACGAAUCACGUAUCGACCUAUCAGAAAACGACAAGCACCUCAAACAGAUCACAGCCUGCAUCCGCGAGUUCCAUCAAGCCAAUCCUAGGAAGCUGGUUCUCACCGAACACCCGUACUACACCCAGCCCGCGAGAUACACCCAGCCCGCGAGGUACACCCAGCCCGCGAGGCACCCCCAGCCCGCGAGAUACACCCACCCCGCAGACACCUCCCAGCCCGCGAGGUACAACCACCAAGCGAGUAACUCCAAGCCCGGGUGUUUCCCCUCGCUCCUACAACACCCCAAGCCCGUUUACCACUUCAGAUCCGCCCGAUUUGUUCAGUGAACAUCCUCGAUCGCGCAGCAAUAAAAUUGAUCCUCAAAUGGAUGAGGUACACUAUGCUGAAACAUCAGCUUGAGGGCUCUGGCUAAUUUCAAGUUUUCCUAAAUUUAUAUUACGAAUGUUAGAACGUCUAGGGACAUCUGGAAUGAAACUUAAAUUGAUCCAGUUUAAACGUAGAGUGCUUAUGUGCUUAUGGCUGCAAUCAAAUUUCACACCAUUUUUUUACGACUGCAUUCAGUAAAAGAAAAUUCAAAGUGACCAAAUGAGUUACAUUAUUAUACAGAAUAGUUGGUAAAAGCAAUUUGAUUGGCUAAGAGCUUACAGUUAAUUCACGCGACCUACAGAAAAUUCAGUUAUCCCGCUAGCAGUUAUCCCGCUGAGUUAUCUGCAAAUGAGCCUGCGAUGAUUAGCAAGCGGUAUCUAUUUAACACAAACAAAUGUAUAGUAAAACAAUUAUUGGAUGAGGUUUUUGCGAUAUGCAAAAUUAUCAAGGUUUCGGUAAGCGUUAUCAGCCUCGUCUGCGGCUUGGCUGAUAACGCUUACCUCGACCUUGAUUAUUCCGCAUAUCACAAAAACCUCAUCCAAUAAUUGUUAAUUGCCAAACUAUUUCAGCUUGCUUUGUUUUUGAGAUAUUAAACAUGAAGACAAUCUGCAUAUCCGGCUAAUAUUGUUUGAACUUUCUUCACCGAAUCAUAAAAAAUUAUGUUAAAUUUCGUCGAUAAGCACUUUACAGUAAGACUGUAUUACUAGUUAUUUUACAUUUUUUGAUAUUAACAGGGUCCGCACAGAACUUGAAAAUCCUUGAAUGUCCUUGAAUUUGGAAACAAAAAUUCAAGACCUUGAAAGUCCUUGAGUUUAUAAAGAGGUGCUUGAAAGUCCUUAAAUUCACGGUUCUUGCUUUAGUGGAUAUUUCAGUCUGAAAUUGUUUGGCAGCAUUGGACAUUUUGUGAAUUGAUUUUCUCACUAUGUCUUACAAAGCCAAAGCUGUUUGAAAUUCAUAGUAAAGUCAGUUGCCGUUGAACAGUUUAACGUCACUUUCUACUAAUUUCUAGAGUGUUAUUUUCAGCCUUUAGUCCUUGAAUUUCCUGAUGCAUGCAUGAUGACCUUGAAAAGUCCUUGAAAAUCCUGAUACAUGGCCUUGAACGAACCCUGUAUUAUAUUUUGAUUUUUGACCCUGCAUAUAUACAUGCAUGAUGUCAUUAAGUCGGUUUAAUAUUAACAAACUGAAAAUACAGCUGAUUCAAUUAAGGUUUCCUUUUGCGAAAACCGAAAACCUCGUCCUGUUCGCGCCAAACUGGGAGUGUUUUGGCAUGCUUGUAUUAUAUGCUAAUAAGGAUAUGUCUGGUUUUUAUGCUAAUCAAAUAAAUGUCAGAGCUAUAUCUGUAUGACAGUUGCUUGUGAUUUGCCGCCGAUAAUAAAAACAAGUUCAUUUGUCAGUCCUUUUAACUUAUAAGCCGGUCUAUACAGCGCUAAACAUCAAUGCUAUUGCAAAAUACAAUUUGCUCAUUCAUACUCGAUUACAUAUGCUUUUCGCAUUUAGUUAUCGAGGUUUGCGGUUUUCAGUUUUGAUUUUGAAAGGACAACUUUAAUUAAUAGUUAAUAUACACCCUUUCCAUAAUGGA